AGUGGAAUUGCUGGGUUAUAUGGAAGUUCUACUUUUAGUUUUUCGAGCAACUGUCACACUGUUUUCCACAACAGCUGUACCAUUUUGCAUUCCCACCAGCAAU
rnacentral:pre_miRNA from 1 species